rnacentral:rRNA from 1 species
CCUACGGGAGGCAGCAGUGGGGAAUAUUGGACAAUGGGGGGAACCCUGAUCCAGCCAUGCCGCGUGUGUGAAGAAGGCCCUCGGGUUGUAAAGCACUUUCAGUGAGGAAGAACGCCUGGUGGUUAAUACCCAUCAGGAAAGACAUCACUCACAGAAGAAGCACCGGCUAACUCCGUGCCAGCAGCCGCGGUAAUACGGAGGGUGCGAGCGUUAAUCGGAAUUACUGGGCGUAAAGCGCGCGUAGGUGGCUUGAUAAGCCGGUUGUGAAAGCCCCGGGCUCAACCUGGGAACGGCAUCCGGAACUGUCAAGCUAGAGUGCAGGAGAGGAAGGUAGAAUUCCCGGUGUAGCGGUGAAAUGCGUAGAGAUCGGGAGGAAUACCAGUGGCGAAGGCGGCCUUCUGGACUGACACUGACACUGAGGUGCGAAAGCGUGGGUAGCAAACAGGAUUAUAUACCCCGGGAGUC